AGUUAAAGGGUGGGGUUUAGGAUUUAGGGUUUAGGGUUUAGGAUUUAGGGUUUAGGGUUUAGGGUUUAGAAUUUAGGGUUUAGGGUUUAGAGUUUAGGGUUUAGGGUUUAGAGUUUAGGGUUUAUGGUUUAGGGUUUAGGGUUUAGGGUUUAGAAUUGAGAAAUGAGGUUUUGAGAUAAGAUAUAAACUUAGAAAUGUGUUAUUUUGGUCAUUUUAGUUUUUGAUUGCUAUUUUUGUGAUAUAAACUUAGAAAUGUGAUAUUUUGGACAUUUGCCCAAUAUUAAAUGAAGAAAAUAUGAGUCGCGUUUUGAAUUAUGACACUGAUAGCUGUAAGGCGGUAAAUGUGAUAUAUAUAUUUAUUUUUCUUAAUGACGAACGUGAUAGUUUUUUUUUUUGCCAGACUUGAGAAUUUUCUUUUGUGGAAAUAGUAUUUUAGAUAUUUUCAUAACGUUUAUUCAUAUGACGUUAAUUUACAUAGCAAUUUAUUUCAUAACACACAUGUAUCGAUCACAUGCAAUGUCAUUUAUUUCCUCCUGUCUAGUAGGCGAUGCAGA
rnacentral:lncRNA from 1 species